rnacentral:tRNA from 1 species
CUUUUCUGGUUUACAAGACCAGUGUAUUAGAUGUACUACAAAGACCU